UGAAAAAGGCAAACUUGUUGAAAGGCAAGGACGCAAAGCCUCAGGUCUAAGGCAUUAGCUAAGACAGCUGGGUUACCUA
rnacentral:ncRNA from 1 species